UUCAGCCUCAGGUUUAAUCAUAUCAAGCAAUAGACGAACUAAAGUCACCCUUGUAACGCUAUGUGCACAGAGGUUUAAGAAAAGUCUUUGCAGAAGGCCUUUCCCAAGGGGCUGUGACAGCCGUAGCAGGCGGACCAAAGCUUUCAAAGCAUUAGCAUCCAGAAGGUGGCUCACCUUCAAUUUCCUUCACCUUCAUGCUAUCUGCAAUUGCAGAAGCUGCCCUCCGUCCAAUUGUAACUCCUACACCCCUGUCCAUCACUGUCUGCCUAUCAAACCCCAAACCAUUUCUACGGCUAAUCAGCAAACAGGCUGUGAGCCUGAUAAUGACUCAUUGCUCGAUCCCUUAGCAUUUGGGCUUCGGCAAGCAAUGGAGAAGGCAAUGCUGAUAAUACUGCUUCUGAAGAAGUCAAAAGUACCUCUUCACGCAAAUCAGCAGGGAAAGUAGCAAUUAUUGAAGCAUUAUCCAUGUCAACAGGCUGUCCUUCAGCCUG
rnacentral:misc_RNA from 1 species